GACGAACGCUGGCGGCGUGCUUAACACAUGCAAGUCGAACGGUGAAGCGCCUUCCUUUUUGGUGGGUGUGGAUGAGUGGCGAACGGGUGAGUAACACGUGAGUAACCUGCCCCCUUCUUCUGGAUAACCGCAUGAAAGUGUGGCUAAUACGGGAUAUUCUGGGUCUGUCGCAUGAUGGGUCUGGGAAAGAUAUUGUUUCGGUGGGGGAUGGGCACGCGGCCUAUCAGCUUGUUGGUGGGGUGAUGGCCUACCAAGGCGGUGACGGGUAGCCGGCCUGAGAGGGUGGACGGUCACACUGGGACUGAGACACGGCCCAGACUCCUACGGGAGGCAGCAGUGGGGAAUAUUGCACAAUGGGCGCAAGCCUGAUGCAGCGACGCCGCGGGAGGGAUGGAGGCCUUCGGGUUGUGAACCUCUUUCGCCAGUGAAGCAGGCCUGCCUCGUUUGUGGGUGGGUUGACGGUAGCUGGAUAAGAAGCGCCGGCUAACUACGUG
rnacentral:rRNA from 1 species